rnacentral:rRNA from 1 species
CGCUCUUCGCAAAGUAUUCUGAUGUAUGGAGAGUCCUGCCUGCCCGGUGACUUUUAGUUAAACGGCCGCGGUAUUUUGACCGUGCGAAGGUAGCAUAAUCAUUUGCCUCUUAAAUAGGGGCUGGUAUGAAUGGUAAGACGGGGUUUAGCUGUCUCUUUCUUGGUGAGGUUUAACCUAAUUUUUUUGUGAAGAAGCAGAAAUGUAAUCGUAGGACGAGAAGACCCUNUNGAGCUUAAACAAAGAGCAAGGAUAGAUGUCAAAAGUGUUUUUUUGUUAAUUUAUUCUGAAUGAGUAGAGGUUUUUACUUUAGGAUGCAGGGCAUUGUAUGCUUUAUGUUUUGAUUGGGGCAAUCGCGGAGAAAAGAUACCCUCCGUUGUAAAUAUUAAUAUUGUAAAGAAAUUUCUUUGAAAUGUAAGAAUACAUAUUUGUGAUCCACGGUUGAGUGAGUAAARGAANAAGUUACCRYAGGGAUAACAGCGUAAUUUUCUUGGAGAGUUCAUAUUGAUAAGAAAGUUUGCGACCUCGAUGUUGGAUCGGGAUUUCCAGGAGAUGCAGCAGUUUCCAAGGGUUGGUCUGUUCGACCAUUAAAAUCCU